rnacentral:rRNA from 1 species
GACGAACGCUGGCGGCGUGCUUAAUACAUGCAAGUCGAACGGACAGGCCCUGCUUUUGUUGCUUGCUCGAGUGGCGAGCGGGUGAGUAACACGUGAGUAACCUGCCCUUGUCUUUGUGAUAACUUCAGGAAACUGGGGCUAAUACCGGAUAGGAGCUCCUGCUGCAUGGUGGGGGUUGGUAAGUUUCGGCGGUUGGGGAUGGACUCGCUGCUUAUCCGCUUGUUGGUGGGGUAGUGGCUUACCAGGGCUUUGACGGGUAGCCGGCCUGGGAGGGUGACCGGCCACAUUGCGACUGAGAGACGGCCCAGACUCCUACGGGAGGCAGCAGUGGGGAAUAUUGCACAAUGGGCGGAAGCCUGAUGCAGCAACGCCGCGUGCGGGAUGACGGCCUUCGGGUUGUAAACCGCUUUCGCCUGUGACGAAGCGUGAGUGACGGUAAUGGGUAAAGAAGCACCGGCUAACUACGUG